CCAAAGCUUCAUUCUUGUCCUUGAAUAGAUUUGAGCUUCCUAGGAUGCUAUCAUCUUACUCUCCUCAACUAAGGCAAAACAUAUUGAUGGUAGUUUAGUUAAAAUAAUGAAACUGUCUAUCUUUUUACAUUUCAAUUUGUUGAUUUUUUUUAUUGUUCAUUAUAUUCUUUUAGGAUGAUGCAAUUGGUACUGAUGGAAAACAGGUUUAAAAAAAAAUUAACAACAGAUUCUACAGUAAAAUUGACUGCACAAAUUGAAAUGGAUUUCUACAAUGGAUAAACAGAUUAUAGAUCAACGUCAUCGAACUUCCUUGAAUAAUUGUCAAGAUGUAAAACAACCGGAAACUUCCAUGGAUGAGAUGUAUACAAGAAUCACACAAAUGCGGAUAGAAUAUUUGAAGUAUGAACAAGUACAACUUAGACACGAAUUAUAUAAAGGAGUAUUACCAAAUAAAUCAUGCAAAGAAUGACUAUCUGUAUAUUCGAAUAUUAUGUUAUUGCAUUUACAAAAUUUAAGCUUACAUUAUUACAAAUAAAUAUUAUUUACCUCCCAUUUAUUCGA